GCACCGGCUGCCCCAGGAGGCUUUCCCAUCUCCAGCACUGCCCAAGGCCCCGGGGAAUCUCGCACCAGCCACCCACGCAGUGCACCUGGCCGGUUGUGCAAUGCCAGCCACGCUGGGCGGGGGGAGGAAUUCCUUCCUGAUCCCUGCAAGGAUUCGCUUGCACGGCAAUGCCUGGGAACCGCGCACCCGCCCCGAGCGACCAGGGCCAGGCCUCCAGGCUGCUCUCCGGGCAGGGGAGCAGGCUGCAAGGGGGAUGCACGGGCUCAGGAGAGCGGAGCGGUGACAAUCCCCCAUGGGCGAGCAGAAGCCAGACAAAUGGUGAGGAAGCAGGGCAGGGUGCCAGGACUCCUGCGUUGCCUUCCCAGCUCCACGCCGCGGGGUCUUGGGAACAUCACUUGGCUGCUCUGUGCCUCAGUAUCUCCACCUGUGAAAUGGGGCCAAGAAUCAGGUCCGGGUGGCCCUGAGGCUCACCUCCCAGCCCCCCUGCAAAGCACUCAGGGGGAAAAAAAUCACUGCCGCCAGCAAGUCUCCUCCCUUUCAGCCUGAGGCUUCAGAUACUCCCAAACCCAUGGUAGGCUUCCUACAUGCAAGCCCCAAGCCCGGACGCCUUGGGGUUCAGAUGCGCCUUAGUCUCGUUUCCAAAAGAGCAAGCUAGAGGGAGAGCCCAAAAGCAGUUCCCUAUCACCAUAAAUUGUGUAGCCGAGAUCCUCCCAUUUGGAGGCAUUUGCAGACUCUGGCAGGGGUCAGCCCAAAGUGCAAGGUUGGGCUUUCACCCCCGGAGUGCUGGUCUGCAUCCCACCCAUGCAGGGAAACCCCGCUCUGCAUCACGCCUGGCUUCCCCUCUCUUCUUUCCCUUCAGAGGCAGGAGAGACGGCGUGCCUUCACUUCACCCGUUGCAUGGGAGCAAGAAAGGAGGCACAUCUUUCGCAGGCAAUGGCUGCACAAGGCCUUCAAUCAAGCCCAGGUGAUUUGCUGGCACGGAGAGUCAGGCCUGCUGGGAAAUGGGGGCAAGUCACUCCCUUGCCCUGUGCCUCAGUUUCCCCAUCCAGCAAAACGACACACCUCCCUCCCCAGAGGAUGACAGCAGGCAACGGAUCACGGCAGAGAAGGUGGUGUGAGAUCGCCAUCCAUACGCUCCAGAGACGGAGCACAAGGCCUCACGAGUCCCUAGUACAGUUAUUUUCCCUGGAAAGGAUUGUGAAACUUUGGGCUUCGGGGAAUUGGCUUGACUGGCUGCAUCUGUGACAGCCUGGAGGAUAACAAAGCCCUCUCUGAACUCCAGAAGGGCAGCACGUCUGGAGCCGAGCACGCGCCGCGGCUCAUGGGACGUUCAAAGCAGGGCUCAGGGCAGUGGCCCGGAGCAAGCCGGCGCUGGAGCCGGGAAGCAGGCGGGACCCACAACGUGCAGGGCUCCCGAGCAGAGCGAGUUACGCGGGCCUGAAGUCAGGCAUCCGAGGGUGGCACCGAGCAGCUGCGUCCCAGCAGCCCACGACCGCUCGGGACAGGAAGGGAUGAGGCAUCCUGUAUUCCCUUGAAAAUGCCACAGGGAAUAUUACCGGCUGGAAGCAGGCCAGGGCACGCUGGAAGCCCGGCCGGAGGCUGGGGGGAGCAGGGAGUUUCCAGAGCGCGGGGGAAGCAAACCCCUGUCGCAAAUCCAGACCCCAGACAUUUGGGGAGGAAGACCUGGAAAGAAAGGGGGUUCGUUAACCCUUUCUCCUAGGAGUCAGCCACCCCAUGCUGGGAAAAGUCCCAGCCCCCCAAAACAGAUCCCGAUACACGUGGGACCCCCAAUGUGUCCCCCUCCAAGAGACUGGGUCUCCACCACCCACCUGCAGCCAGAGGACCAAAGACCUCACUAAGCUAUGUCAUGUUUGCAAAACUCCCAGCCCCCCAAAAGAGAUCCCGAUACACGUGGGACCCGGGCUGAACCCCCAGUGUGGACCCCUCUAGGAGCCUGGGUCUCUGCCGCCCACCUGCAGCCGGAUCAAAGAGCUCACUGAGCUAUUUCAUGUUUGCAAGUCCUUUGGACUGGAGCAAGAGAGAGAGGGGAUCUCUGGGAAACAGAAAAAGAGCAAGAACAAGAUCCAUUAGCGGCCCCCUCCCCCCGCAGAAAGGCCCAGAGCAGGAAUCUGCCCCAGAUUGGUUUCAAGGGUAAUUGAUGGCCCAGGGAGCAGGGCUGUAAAGUGUUAGGAGGAGGCUGCCUUCGCCCUGUCUCUGGCUUGUUUGCAGAGUGGACUUGGAAAUGGAAAAGCAGCGAGGGGAGGGAGGGGGAAGGAGCCGGGACUGGAGCUCAGACAGCCUGGCGCCAGCAAACACCUGCAAACAGCUAACAGGAACACAAUGGCAAACACAGGUGGGGGAGUGUUGUCAUCUCAAACCUCUCCCCUCUGUUAAUCACAGCUGAUUGCAUCAGUUUCCAGCCCUGCCAAGACCCGCCAGCAGCAGCAGGCGCAGGCCCUGCGCAGCCGGCUGGGGUUGUUCUCCGUGUCAGGAUUUUGCUAAUUUAAAGCAACUUUGCAUUAAAUAUUUUUUUCCCCCUGCAACACAAAGGGGAGUUAAAAAACAGGUGGGGGAAGGCUUCAGAGUAAGAGUCUCCCGCCUGCCAGCCCCGCUUCGCUGUAAGAGCCAGCCCCCAUCACCCGGGAGAGGGGGCAGGCCUAGGAGAGUGGGGAGCCCCAGAGCCGGAGCUGCCCCUGGGGUUUCUUUGCAAAGCGGGAGCUGCUCUGCACCAGUCGUGCCGCUUCCGAGGGAGAGGACAAGCAUGGCCGGGGUGUCCCGUGGGGGCAGGCCCCCCGGCUUCGCACCACGAGCCCACGUCCCAGGGGCGCACGCGUGGCGGAGGAUGCGGGGAUUCCAGCCAGCGGCUUUCCCAGCGUCCCCGCCAGGGAGAAGCAACAGCAUCACCGAGCAGAGGCCGUCACAGCGCUGCAACUGCCUGGAAAGAGUUCUCCCGAUUCCGGGAAACGGCCUGGAACGGCUCGCAUGGGGGAGGCGACCGCAGCCCCGGCCUUGCCCUGGAAGAGUUUUACAGGCCUGGAUCACUCAGUUGCCUUCAGCUCUGUCCUUCCAAGGGCACGGCCUAGCGGGGUCCACAGGGGACAGUGUCCCCCAUCCCCACCUUCCUGCCACCAGAAGAACGGGCUUUGAUCAAGGUGCUAAAGACUCCCGUCGCUGUAGUGGGACCUGUGCGACGCAGCCUCGCAUUCACCCCUCCGGCCGUCAGUCGCACAACACCUUGCAGUACAGGCCGGGGUGGUUGCUUUGCCUGUCCCAGCAUUGCAGCCACCUCUGGGGUGCGUCAGGCAGCUGUUUCAGUUGCCCGGCACAACAGCUCGGGUUAGGAAGUGCAGGGGCCCAUUGCAUGCGCUUGCAUACCCGAGCUGGGAUUUGGUCCAGCUGCGGUGUCUAUCGCCCCUGCUCUCGGUGCAUGACGUGAAGUGGCUGUUCAGGGUGCAGGCCUCGUCUGAAGGACGGGCUCCUCCUGCCACCAUGCUGAAGCCCUUGGCCCUGCAGUGCUUCAGAGGGAAGAGCACUGCCUGUGGUCCCCUUGUUCUGCACCCAAGCGGGGACCCAGCCCAGCUGAGCUGCGGUGAUCAGACAAGCUCCCCGCUGGAGGGGGCACCCCCAGGAUGGCCAGGGACAGUCAUCCUACUCUUUUCCAUUCAAAGGAAAGAAGUGGCACAGAUGUUUCCCACCCCACCGUCUGCACGGAGGGAGCAUCUGCAGGUAUUUGUGCAGCGUGGGACAUAGCUCCCAAGGCUAAUAAUGAUCAACCCCCCUGGUCGAGACCUCAUUUCUAAGCAGGGUUGAAUUCCCAGGCCAAGCAGCACAGGGGCCUUUCAUCCGGGCAUCUCCAAGUGCUUAGCACGCAUGCGGGAAGGGAGAGCUGAUGUCACCCCAAGCCCCAAACUCCUUCUUGGUUGUCCCCCAGCAAGCAGAGAAGAGGCCUGGAGGUCCUUGGCCUUUUGGGGCUCUGCUUCAGAGAGGACUGGAGCUCUGCUGAGCGUCCGUGUGCAUCUCCUUGCACUCCUUGCAUCUGAUGCCCGGCCUCGGUCCCCUUUGCUGAGAGACUCUUUUGCAGAGGAGGAAACUGAGGCACAGAGAGAAGUUGGGGUGUGGGAGCAACUAGUCCAAAGCCAGCAGCAAGGCUAGGAAUACAACCCAGGUCUCAUGACCCACCCAAAACUCAUCCUUCACUGAACCAUAGACAGUCUGGCAAAAUGUAGCCCAAAAAGUCCGGCCUCCUGGCAUCCCUCCGCUCCCCUCCCCACCCUACCCCUCCGCUGCUGCACCCCUGCAGAGGGAGGAGAAACGUCCCAGGUUUAGGGGUGGUCAAGCCCCCAGGGCCUUUCUGACCCGUCUCUUCCAUGCUGGUCCCCUGGACGCUGCAGCCGCCAAGCCUGGCCGUGAGCACUGGGCCGGUAACAAGGCAGGGUCCCUGGCCUCGGCGUGGUUUGCAGCGUAACUAGAGGAGAGGGAAUUUCAGCUGCUCAUGAGUAUGCAUGAGGGCAGGGAGCGUCCUGUCCUGGCUGGGCCCAGGGUUACGGGUUAGCGAGCGGUUCCCGUCUCGCACCCAGAUCUGGUUUCCUUCUGUGCGAAGUGCAGGAAAGAACAAGCCGUGCUCAGGCCGCGAUGGGCAGAUGCUGGGAUACAGGCAAGGUGCGGAGGGCAUCUGCACCGCCCAGCUCGGACCAGGACACACGAACACUGAAUCACACCGAGCUCCUCUCACGAGGCUGGGGCUGCCCCAUAGACGGUGCCGAAAGCAGCCCCAAGCUGCGCCUGACUUCGUCCCAGCACGUUCCAGGAGAAGAUCAAAACUCUCCGGGCAGGCGGGCAGGGCUGGAUUUCCAAAGGUGCCAGGCACCCUCCACCCCCCUUCACGUCAGCAAUGCUCAGAGACUGCAGGGCCUUCAUGAGGCAUGUGGGAACGAUGCUGUUGAUGGGGAAACUGAGGCACAGAAAGGAGAAGCAACUAAAUUGAGGUUGCACAGAGCACCGCAGAGCGAAAGAUCUCAGCUCCUUCCUCCAGCUGUGCACCAGACAUGGGAGCCAGGGCUCCUCGUCCCCCAUGCUCCCCGCUCUGGUCCUUGCUGCUGAUUAAACCCUACAACAUCCCCCGGGGCCAGGAAUCCCAGGCUGUGCCCUUGCCGUGCCCAGCCACGGGCCUGGGCUUGUAAGCAAGCGGCUCGUGCGGUUCUUACGACCUGCCCUGCAUUGCCCGAGUGAGAAACUAGAUGGACUGGUUAGGAAGGCGCCAACAGGAGUCGGCUGGAUCCAGCCUCAGCACCGUUGCUAGGACACUGCCGGAGACUGAUGGGGAGAAAUUCAUUUCAAAUGAUUGCUGUGGUCAGGACAGCUUGAUCGCAGCUGCUUUGCCGCGUUGUCAUUACAUGCCAGACAGUAGCACUGCAAGGGCCUGGUGGAGAUCAAAGUCCCGUUGUAGCGGGCACAGAGCGAGAGACAAGGCCCGCUGCGACCGGCUUCCAGCCGAGAUCCCAUGGGCUCCUCCAGCUCCGGGGCAGGACGGCUUGGGACAAGGCCCUGUCCCCCUUUUUGUCCAAUUUAUUUAUUUAUUUUGCAAAACUCUAGUUGGUCUAAUUAAAGAUAUCACCUCUA